rnacentral:misc_RNA from 1 species
GCCCAUCGACGCUCGGUCACCCGACCGCACGCGGACAGUGGCCCUCCGAGCCGCAGAGGCACGGCGGGCUGAAGUGCGAGGCCGUCGACCGCGUCGGGAGCGGCAAGUGGUGGGCUACAGCGCAUGCCGACCCCCGACCCGCGUCGACACCCGGCCCUUACCGACCCCACGACGAGGAGACCGUCGCCGCGGCGUCCCAGCCGCGCGGCGCCUUCGGACC